rnacentral:rRNA from 1 species
AUACGUAGGGAGCGAGCGUUGUCCGGAAUUACUGGGUGUAAAGGGAGCGUAGGCGGGAGUGCAAGUCAGAUGUGAAAUACAUGGGCUCAACCCAUGGGCUGCAUUUGAAACUGCAUUUCUUGAGUAAGUAGAGGUAAGCGGAAUUCCUGGUGUAGCGGUGAAAUGCGUAGAUAUCAGGAGGAACACCGGUGGCGAAGGCGGCUUACUGGGCUUUUACUGACGCUGAGGCUCGAAAGCGUGGGGAGCAAACAGGAUUAGAUACCCUGGUAGUCCACGCUGUAAACGAUGAUUACUAGGUGUGGGGGGACUGACCCCUUCCGUGCCGCAGUUAACACAAUAAGUAAUCCACCUGGGGAGUACGGCCGCAAGGUUGAAACUUAAAGGAAUUGACGGGG